GCCUAACACAUGCAAGUCGUACGAGAGUUUUUUACUCAAGUGGCGGACGGGUGAGUAACACGUGAGAAUUUGCCUUUAGGAGAGGGAUAACAAUUGGAAACGAUUGCUAAUACCUCAUAUGCUCGAGAGUGAAAUAGAUUUAUCUGCCUAAAGAAAAGCUCGCGGCUGAUUAGCUAGUUGGUAAGGUAAUGGCUUACCAAGGCGACGAUCAGUAUCUGGUUUGAGAGGACGAUCAGACACACUGGAACUGAGACACGGUCCAGACUCCUACGGGAGGCAGCAGUGGGGAAUUUUCCGCAAUGGGCGAAAGCCUGACGGAGCAAUACCGCGUGAGGGAAGACGGCCUAUGGGUUGUAAACCUCUUUUUUCAGGGAGGAAUUAAUGACGUGUACCUGAAGAAUAAGCAUCGGCUAACUCCGUGCCAGCAGCCGCGGUAAGACGGAGGAUGCAAGUGUUAUCCGGAAUCACUGGGCGUAAAGCGUCUGUAGGUGGUUUAAUAAGUCAACUGUUAAAUCUUGAGGCUCAACUUCAAAAUCGCAGUCGAAACUAUUAGACUAGAGUAUAGUAGAGGUAAAGGGAAUUUCCAGUGGAGCGGUGAAAUGCGUAGAGAUUGGAAAGAACACCAAUGGCGAAGGCACUUUACUGGGCUAUAACUGACACUCAGAGACGAAAGCUAGGGUAGCAAAUGGAUUAGAUACCCCA
rnacentral:rRNA from 1 species